rnacentral:sRNA from 1 species
CUUUGUUCUUUUGGACAUUUUGUCUUUUGUGUUUUUGCCCGUCCAUGAUUUGAAACAUUUAUCGUGCUAGUAUAUAGCAAUCUACUCGUUCCAUAUUUCUGCUCCCUGAAAUAAUAGCCAUUAGGCUGGAUUCCAGUUUUCCAUUGGAGAAGCGAAUCUAGAGUGCUCAGCCGCUGUUUUAACGGAGCCGUGGAACUGAUCGUGCAGAUAGGCACCCCUGUUGACUGUGUAAAGAACAAAGGUGCUCUACCCUGCUGGCGGCUGGUGUCUCACAUUUGGUCACUUUGAAGUUGAAGAACAGCAAAGCACUUUAUUCUAAUUUCCACUUUUCUGUUGUUGAAAUCAGGGUAUAUUUUUAUUUUCGUUGGUCAAUUGUGGACCCCUGUCCCAUUUUUUUCCUGAUAGCUUAUCUACCUUUGCAUCAUUGAUUUUGAAAGACCUAGAUUAUACAACUCAGAAUUAGUCCACAUUUUACUGCGUGUUGAUUAUCUGUGUCCAUGGUGGAUGCAUUAACACCAAGGAACCGGACCUAGUGGAAGACAGAUCACAAUGACAAAAGCAAAUGAAAUCAAACACCAGCCUUUUCACCUUCGGAUGAUUUCCAAGGCUAAGAAACUGAUUAAGAAACUAAUGUUGAAACAGACUGCUAAUAGAUCAACUCAAGUACCCAGAAGACAAAGGGCAUGGAAGGAAGCCUAAGGAUUUAUAGGAAAUUAUUAUUUUACAUUAAACCACAUUAAUUUUAUUUAUAACAGAUACUUGUUUCUUUAACCUUUAUCCAAAUAUACUUAGUACACACUUAGAGUAUACCUAGGAAUCAUAUACUAUCAAAGGGUUGUCAUGGAUGAGACAUAUUCAUUAUUUCAGUCAUUGUGACACACCGCAGUACAACUUUAUAAUUAUAACCUUCUAUGCUAUGCUCACUGUGCUCCAUGUAGCCACAGUUGGGUAAGAUUCACUCUUUCUCCCUACAGCAUCCAAAUGAGUCUGCAUUACAUUUGCCUGGAUCCCACGCUUAUCGCUAUCUUAAUGUUGGCUUCAUCUACACCAGGU